rnacentral:ncRNA from 1 species
UUUUUAUACAGAGGCGUGGAGAGACAGGCUCUACGAAGCGCCGGCAACCAUCCGUAAGUGCGGAACGGUGCCAAGUCCUGACCAUAUAAAAA